rnacentral:misc_RNA from 1 species
AUGCGGAGCAGCCAGGGCAGUGGGCACCAGGCUUUAGCCUCCCUUUCUCACCCUACAGAGGGCAGGCCCUUCAGCUCCAUUCUCCUCCAAGGCUGCAGAGGGGGCAGGAAUUGGGGGUGACAGGAGAGCUGUAAGGUCUCCAGUGGGUCAUUCUGGGCCCAGAGAUGGGUGCUGAAGCUCCCACACCUGCCUGUGAAAAUGGAUUCCUCUCUCACCUGGGAGAGCCAGGUGCUGCCCCGAGAAGGAUGCAUUUAUGGCUUCAUGAAGUCUUUCCUGACCCCCGAUGCUGCUGACUAUAGACAAAGUCUCACUAUGUUGCUCAGGCUGGUCUUGAACUCCUGGCCUCAAGCGAUCCUCCCACCUUAGCCUCCCAAAGUGUUGGGAUUAUAGACAUGAGCCACUGCACCUGGCCAACCUUGGGCAAGUUCUUAAACCCUUCAAAGCCUCAUUUUUCUCCAAUCAUAAAAGGGAAAGAUGGUAAUAUUUUCCCCGCCAAAUUCUUGUCGGAUGCCCUCACAGAAUUGAGAUUAUGUACGUAAAACACCAGGUGCCUAACCCGGCACAGAGCAGGAGGGCUAAGCGUGACAUCCAGCAUGUGGUCAGUGGAAUCCAGUAUUCCUACCCACCUCUCUAGUCUCCCCUCCACCCCUCUCCCUUUCAGAGGCACCAAGCUGCUUGUGGUCUUGUCUAUUCCCACUCCCUGCCCGACUGAACAUUUUCUCUACCUCCUGAUCAUCAGCAGCAGAAACUGGCUGCUCUUCCUCCUGGGUAGACAGCCAGACUGUAUUUCCCAGCUGCCCCUGCAGUGAGAUGUGGCCAUCGGAGCCAGCAUUGGCCAAUGGACUCUGCAUGGGAGUGACGCAUGCUGCCUCCAGGCUUGUCUCUAAAACCUCCCACGUGUCCUCCGCCUGCUCUUCCCACCUCCAAGGAGCACGGCAAUUGUGGAAGACCCAGAUUAGUGAUGGCAGAACCAUAGAUGGGAGGAACCUGGGUCCCUGACUUAAAGUAUCAUGGAUUUGGAUGUUCCCUUAGUGAGAAAUAAACUUCCAUUGUGUUUAAGCCUU